GGAGCUUCGCGUCCAUGUGGAGCGGUCCGGAAGGUGGCUCCGGGGAGGCGUCUUGGUGGAGGGUGGCGUGCGUCGUUGCGGAGAAGAGGUAGUCCGGUGGGCGCGAUUUGGCCAUCGCCCCCCGGUUGGGGCUUUCUUGAGGUGGUCGCCUGCAGCUCCCGUUAUCCUCAGCCGGGAUAAAAAGUAAUGGGCAAGAAUAAGGUAAAAGGCCUGAAACAGGCCAGUGUAUUCCAUAUAGCCAACAAAAAAAUACUGAAGGCUAAAAGUAAAGCAAAACCAGUGGCAACCAAUCUAAAAAAGAUAAAUAUUGUGAAUGAUGAAAAAGUUCACAAGAUAAAUAAGAUAUUUACAGAAAUACAGAAAAAUGUUAAACAGUUGUCUGAAGCUGUUCCAUCAGAUUCUUCAAAGAGACCUCAGAUUCCAAAGUUUCAGGAAGACAAACCGGCUAAUGUGGAUGCUGCUGCUAACUUACUGUCUCAGUUGUAGUGCAAAACAAUAAAUCUAUGUGAAAAUCACAUCUUCUGGCAGAAUUUAAAGAACAAAUAAAAAGUAAAGGAUGAGGCUGAAGUGAUUCCUGGCUCAUGGAUCCAUAGCAUGAAUAAGGGAUUGAAGAUGCAGAAUGGAAGGCAUAGCUUUCAACUGGAAAUCUAUUUGCAUAAUAGUAUAAUGUUGGAAGGAACAGCUGGAGUUUAUAUAAUGGAAUUGGGAAACUAUUCCUCCCCAAUCUGACAAUACUCAAGCAAUAGAGGAAAUAUUCCAAGACUUCUUUAAAACAACGCAUAUUUUCAUCCCUGUUGAGCCAAUGCAUAGCUAGAGGCCAAAUUAUUUACCAACAGAAAGAGCUGGACUAAAUUUAUGGGAUGUUGGUCUACUAUUACUAGAUCAAAUUAUAAUUUAAAGUAAAAUUGUGAUGUUUAAAAAAAUAAAUCUCUACUCUCUAACAUUACACAUCGUUGGUAAAGUUUAAUAUUAAUAUUCUGAUGGCUUGUUAAAAUGUAAGAUAAAAGGAAUUUACACAUUAAAUAAUGUUUACAUUUCUUUGCUAUAAACAGAAUAAACUUGUGACUUAAUCAGAAUUUCACUUAACAAUGAGUGGAAAAAUAAUGGGAAAAGUAAUAAAAAUAUACACUUUAAUAUUGAACUGAAUUUCAUAGCCUCUUUAAGGAAAUGCCAGAUAUUAGUAAAUCCCUUACUUUAGUUUCCCUCAGAGUAUGGAAUUGGUGUUUAAACUUGGACAACAUGAGACUUUUGGGAUGGAUUUUGAACAAAUUACUUUAAACUAACAGCUGUUUUCUGUUUUCACCCUUUUCUGAAAUAGGGUUUGGUAUUUCAAUAAUAUAAAAUUGAGUAUCUUAAUACCUCUGUAAUAGUACCAUUUCAUUUAUUAAAUUAUUCAAUUUGAACCACAGGUUUGAAUGCAGC